GGUCUCCUCAUUGGCAACACAACCCACUUGCUUAGCCAUCUUUUUCAAAUACCCAACAGCGGCUGCUGAAUUCCCUGCAUCACACAAGCCUUUCAGUAAGAUAUUAUACAAUCUUACAUUUGGAACACAAUUUUCCUUCAUCAUCUCCACCUCAAUUACUUUAACUGCUUCAUGAACUCUACCUUCUCUACACAAUGCUGAUACCUUUGCUUCAUAAGUUAAAAGUGACGGCCUAAAGCCUCUAUCCUGUGUUUCAUCAAGCACUUUAUCAGCUAGACUAAUCCUACCUUCACCGUAAAGUUCAACAGCCAUGGCAGUAUAGCUACCCAGACUAGGAAUCAC
rnacentral:misc_RNA from 1 species